rnacentral:rRNA from 1 species
UACGGAAGGGGCUAGCGUUGUUCGGAAUUACUGGGCGUAAAGAGCGCGUAGGCGGCUUACCAAGUUGGGGGUGAAAUCCAGGAGCUCAACUCCGGAACUGCCUUCAAAACUGGUAGGCUCGAGUCCGGAAGAGGGGCGUGGAAUUCCCAGUGUAGAGGUGAAAUUAGUAGAUAUUGGGAAGAACACCGGUGGCGAAGGCGGCGCCCUGGUCCGGUACUGACGCUGAGGCGCGAAAGCGUGGCGAGCAAACAGA